UCUACUCAUAGAAUCACAAGGACAGAUAAGAAGGGUUGGUGGGCUCAGGCCUGGCUGAGGGCUCAGGAAGCAGAGUCUGGGGCAUCGUUACCAUGGCCUGGGCUCACGUUCUUUUCAUAUUCCUCGUUCACUACACAGGGUGUUGGGCCCAGUUUUUAUUGACUCAGUCCCGCUCUGUGUCAGCGUCUCCCGGGGAGACAGUCACCAUCUCCUGUCUCCGCGACAGUGGCAAUAUUGCAAGCAACUAUGUAUACUGGUACCAACAGCGUCCGGGCAGUGCUCCCAGCACUGUGAUCUAUGAUGAUAAUGAAAGACCCUCUGGGGUUCCUGAUCGGUUCUCAGGCUCCAUUGACAGCUCCUCCAACACAGCCUCCCUGAUUAUCGCUGAUCUGCAGAUUGAGGAUGAGGCUGACUACUACUGUCAGUCUUACGAUGGUAGCAAUAAUCACACAGUGAUCCAGACACAUGGGGAAGUUAUGAGAAGAUUAAAGACCCAGGAUCAGAGGCCAGCAGGGGGCAAUGUUGGAGAACUAAUGACAUUACAGGGCUCUGCCCCAGACCACAAAGGGAAAUACUUGCUUCACAACCCUAUGCAGAAGGUGCCUCAUCAAAGUGUGACUUUCCUGUACCUGGGGCCCAGGAGCCUCAUGAGCACUGAGAUCUGA